AAAUGAAUUGACGGGGGCCCGCACAAGCAGCGGAGCAUGUGGUUUAAUUCGAAGCAACGCGAAAAACCUUACCAAGGCUUGACAUCUAUGUGACCGCCGUAGAAAUACGGCUUUCCUUCGGGACAUAUAGACAGGUGGUGCAUGGUUGUCGUCAGCUCGUGUCGUGAGAUGUUGGGUUAAGUCCCGCAACGAGCGCAACCCUCAUAGCUAGUUACCAAUAUUAAGUUAGGGACUCUAGUUAGACUGCCGUGGACAACACGGAGGAAGGUGGGGAUGACGUCAAAUCAUCAUGCCCCUUAUGUCUUGGGCUACACACGUGCUACAAUGGCUACUACAAAGAGCUGCAACCCCGCAAGGGCGAGCGAAUCUCAAAAAAGUAGUCUCAGUUCAGAUUGUGGGCUGCAACCCGCCCACAUGAAGUCGGAGUUGCUAGUAAUCCCGAAUCAGCAUGUCGGGGUGAAUGCGUUCCCGGGCCUUGUACACACCGCCCGU
rnacentral:rRNA from 1 species